rnacentral:pre_miRNA from 1 species
UUGUUGUUGUUGUUAGUCUUGUUGUGUUAAUAUGGUAUGGCAACACAUCUGUGCCAGGCUAUGCGUUAGCGGCAACUGACUGGUAACUGACUCU